rnacentral:tRNA from 1 species
GCCGCUAUGGUGAAUCGGU